rnacentral:rRNA from 1 species
CACGUAGUUAGCCGUGGCUUAUUCGUCAGGUACCGUCUUCUACUCUUCCCUGACAAAAGAAGUUUACAACCCGAAAGCCUUCUUCCUUCACGCGGCGUUGCUGGGUCAGGCUUGCGCCCAUUGCCCAAUAUCCCCCACUGCUGCCUCCCGUAGGAGUCUGGGCCGUAUCUCAGUCCCAAUGUGGCCGGCCAACCUCUCAGUCCGGCUACUGAUCGUCGCCUUGGUAGGCCGUUACCCUACCAACUAGCUAAUCAGACGCGAGGCCAUCUCUCAGCGAUAAAUCUUUGAUGUAAAUGCCAUGCGACACCUACAUGUUAUGCGGUAUUAGCAGUCGUUUCCAACUGUUGUCCCCCUCUGAAAGGCAGGUUCCUCACGCGUUACUCACCCGUCCGCCACUAAGUAACCCAAUCCGUUGACCGAAAUCUCCUUCAUGGGCACCCCGUUCGACUUGCAUGUGUUAAGCACGCCGCCAGCGUCGUCCUGAGCCAGGAUCAAACUACU